CCUGCCAGUUCCUGCCUUAAUGCAUAUGUAGUCGUAAUUGAGUUCUGACACGGCCUUGGAUGUUUCUGUCCUAAAUAGCUGACAUUGCAUCUUCAAGACUGUCAUUCCAGUUGGCUUUUGAGUGGAUACUUGCAGUGAGAGCAUUGACACUGGAAACACUAGUUCCCAUUUUAAUUACUUAAAACACCAGGAUGAAAAGAAAUACCUGUGAUUUGCUUUCUCGGAGCAAAAGUGACUUGAGCAUCUGAAGAUUUUGGUUUCUGCAGAGGGUGGGAAAGGUUGAACCAAUCCCCCAUGGAUACCAAGGCCUCUGAGGAAACACUACAUUCCAGUAACGAAGAGGAAGACCCUUUCCGCGGAAUGGAACCCUAUCUUGUCCGGAGACUUUCAUGUCGCAAUAUUCAGCUUCCCCCUCUCGCCUUCAGACAGUUGGAACAAGCUGACUUGAAAAGUGAAUCAGAGAACGUUCAACGACCAACCAGCCUCCCCCUGAAGAUUCUGCCGCUGAUUGCUAUCACUUCUGCAGAAUCCAGUGGGUGAGUGCCCUCAGAUGUCAUUUCCCCAUUUUAUAUUUUAGAUGGUGAUUGUUAUCUGUGGUCUUUUGAGUUUUUGUGGCUCAUUGCUUGAUUUGAGUGGGAGAACAAUGGGGUUUCUAGAGUCAAAAAAAAAAAAGGAAUUUCUCAGGUGACAUUUCUAUAUCUGCAGGAGAAGACAUUUUAGUGAAAUUGUUUUACAAGGAAGAGCUGAAAAUGUAUUGGUGAAUGCUAAUAAACAUUUGCAAAAGGGCAGUCGUACUUGGAAAAUUAAUA